rnacentral:sRNA from 1 species
UUCGUGGUAAAGGCGCCACAAGCGGUUGC